UGGGGAAUAUUGGACAAUGGGCGAAAGCCUGAUCCAGCCAUGCCGCGUGUGUGAAGAAGGUCUUCGGAUUGUAAAGCACUUUAAGUUGGGAGGAAGGGCAGUAAGCGAAUACCUUGCUGUUUUGACGUUACCGACAGAAUAAGCACCGGCUAACUCUGUGCCAGCAGCCGCGGUAAUACAGAGGGUGCAAGCGUUAAUCGGAAUUACUGGGCGUAAAGCGCGCGUAGGCGGCUAAUUGAGUCGGAUGUGAAAUCCCCGAGCUUAACUUGGGAAUUGCAUUCGAUACUGGUUAGCUGGGGUGUGGGAGAGGAUGGUAGAAUUCCAGGUGUAGCGGUGAACUGCGUAGAGAUCUGGAGGAAUACCGAUGGCGAAGGCAGCCAUCUGGCCUAACACUGACGCUGAGGUACGAAAGCAUGGGGAGCAAACAGG
rnacentral:rRNA from 1 species